rnacentral:lncRNA from 1 species
CCCCUGCCCAUCUCCUCCUCUCUCAAUUCUUGCAGCCACCAAACCCUAGCCGCCCCCCUCUCAAUCCCCUCCUCCCAAGGUGCCAAUCCUUGCCGCUCGGAUCAUCGUCGUCGUGGUGCGAGUCUUCAAUCGUUUUGGUGGAGGGAAGAAGGGAGGAAGGAAAGGGGGAGAAUCCAAGGUGAUUUUUGUGUUCAUCCCUUGUUCAUUUGCGCUGCAAUUUAAUUGAUUAGAGGUUGCGUUUGCGAUUGGGUAGAGGGGGCUGUCCAGAAUUUUAGGUGGUGGGUGAACAGCAGUAGUCUAGCAGUUUCUGUGUUUUUUUCGUGAGGAAUUAAGGGAAAUCAGUUUGGGGAUCAUGUAGAACUUUACCUUACCUUUCCAACGAGUAUUUAUGCGCUCAAUUUGGAGUUAUAAAUUGAAAGUUAUCACCGUUUGAAUCCGGGUAUGUGGCUGUCCAAAAAAACAGAUUUUCAGGGGGAUGAACAGCAGCAGUAUUAGCAGUUUCUGGGGAUUUUUCGGGAGUAAUUAGUGUUAAUCAGUAUGAGAAUCCUGUAGGGCUUUAUGUUAUCUUUCCAACAAGUACUUAUGCGCUCGAUUCGGAGUUAUAAUUCAGGAGAUAUCGUUGUUUGAAUCCGGUUAUGUUGCUGUCCAAAAAAACAGAUUUUUCAGGUGGGUGAACAGCAGUGGUAUUAGCAGUUUCUGGGAAUUUUUCGUGGGUAAUUAGUGUUAACCAGUAUGGUAAUCAUGUAGGGAUUUGUCUUAUCUUUCCAAUGAGUACUUAUGUGCUUUAUUUGGAAUUAUAUUUUAAAAGAUAUCGCUGUUUGAAUCUGGGUAUGUCGCUGUCCAAAAGACAAAGAAAAACAGAUUACAGGGUUCAUCUUGUGGACUGUUUUGGGCUAAUUAGAUAUUGGAAUUUAAUUAUAAAUUGUAUACAAAACUUGUGGGGAAUUUUAUGUAGAUGCCUCUGGAGUUUUUGUUUGUUACCACUGCUGUCAUAAUUUUAAAGUUAUGAAAUUAUUAAGCAGCGCCGCUGCAGUUUGGUGGGUGUAGGGAGAGAUGUAACCCGCGGCGGGGUUUGAGUUUGUGCGUAGGUGCGGUGUCGCUUAUGAGCCUGAUUAUGUGAAAUUGGUGUACUAAAUUGGGUGUCAAAAACAGGUGGUGGACUUCCGGAUCGUACUUAGGGAUUUGCCCGAACUUCCGGUAAAGG